UAUUUAAUUUCCUUUCAUUACAGGUUAGCGGAAAAUUCGUUGAAGAUACAGAACUGAGGAGAAAUAUGCAAUUUAAGGACAUGUUUUGCAGGAUGUUGGUGUGGCAUCUGCGCCACGCAAUUGCUCUUUAUUUAUGCAAUGGCGUCAGGAGAUGGAGACGGCAUCAUAAAAUUGUCGGUUUUUUGUAUCUAUAAUCGCAAAAGUUGGCGAUUUUGUUUUGCUAUAGUGAGGCCCGUCUCCUGAUUUACGUGCGCAUCAUCGGCAGGAUGAGGGCGAAUUUUUGUAUCUGCUGGAUUGCCUGUCAGGUUUGCAAUUUUCUGUGUCUUUGAUUAAUUUAGUAUUAUAUUUUUAUUAAUUUUCCUUUCUUUAUAGGUUGUCGGGAAGUCAUUGAGAAAACGGUAUUGCGGAGAUUUAUACAAUUUGGAGACGGAUUUUAAUUCAUUUUAAUAUGAAGUUAGUUCCGGGAUAGUGAUCCUUGUGAGUGCAGUGGCAUCAGGAGAUGGAGACGGCGUUGUAAGGUUGUCAGUUUUUUGUGUUUAUAAUCGCGAAAGGUGGCGAUUUUGUUUUUCUUUUGCGGAGCCGGUCUUCUCUUGAUGGUUGUGUUGGAUCACCAGUUGGCUCUGGUUAUUGAGGUAAGUGCUUUAUUUAUUUGUUUUGUUUAUUUUCUUAUUGGUUAAUUGAUUUGUUUUCAGGUUUUAGCGUCAACUAAUGUAGGCGCUCGUCGAUCUGGAAGAUUAUCAGAGUAGCAGGAAGGAUAGAUUUUGCUGCUCCGCGCAAGGUGCCCUGAUCGGAGCAUAGGCAGCUUAUAUGGCCCGUCAAUUGCAGCGCAGCACUGCAAGUAGAUUGUAUCGGUGAUAAGGGAUACUACCAGGGACUGUGUGGCGAAGAAAGUUCAGUUGGUUUUCUCCGCAUCGUUUCGUCAGGAUCAGCUGGAGUGCGUUGUCUUAGGAUUGCUCAUCCGGAUGCGUUGAGAUAAAUUAGGCUGCGUCGAGAAGGGUGGUGACAGUGGAGGAGGUUUAUAAGCAGACAGACGUGCGCUUUUCCAUCGGAUAAAGAUAUCGUUUAUUUAGAUGUAAGAGGAUAUAGAUUUAAUUUGAUGUGUCCAUGUCAAGAUUAUUGUUUCUUAUUUGUAAGAUUAAGGCCAUUAAAAUGUCAAUUUUCUUUUCUAA